rnacentral:rRNA from 1 species
UACGUAGGUGGCAAGCGUUGUCCGGAUUUACUGGGUGUAAAGGGCGUGUAGGCGGGAUAGUAGGUCAGAUGUGAAAUGCCCAGGCUCAACCUGGGAGCUGCAUUUGAAACCCCUAUUCUUGAGUGUCGGAGAGGGAAGUGGAAUUCCUAGUGUAGCGGUGAAAUGCGUAGAUAUUAGGAGGAACACCAGUGGCGAAGGCGACUUUCUGGACGAUAACUGACGCUGAGGCGCGAAAGCGUGGGGAGCAAACAGG